GGGUGAGGGAUCACAAGAGUUUCAUAAAUUCCAGGAUAUUCAGAGAUGGACUGGAACCCACUUCAUAGAGAAGCCAGAAGUCGGCAGGAUGCAACUUUUCUUCCUCAAUACUCUGUGUGUGUGUGACUUUUGGUUCAUAUUCAUCUUCUCCAAGAAUAGGGAUCAUAUCCAUUAUCACACACUUCUCAUGAACAACUUGUGCUUAGCAUCUAGCUUGUAUUUAAGAUCCAUUUGAAGAAAUGAAAUCAUGCAGGAUUUCCUCCAGAUUUUUCCAGUAAAACACAGUAAUCUUACUGGUAAACAACUGAGCUUUUACAUAAAAAAUUCUAAAUAUAGCUUUCUAAUGUGACAUUUA
rnacentral:lncRNA from 1 species